rnacentral:rRNA from 1 species
UACGAAGGGGGCUAGCGUUGUUCGGAAUCACUGGGCGUAAAGGGCGCGUAGGCGGCUUUGUAAGUCGGGGGUGAAGGCCUGUGGCUCAACCACAGAAUUGCCUUCGAUACUGCAUGGCUUGAGACCGGAAGAGGUAAGUGGAACUGCGAGUGUAGAGGUGAAAUUCGUAGAUAUUCGCAAGAACACCAGUGGCGAAGGCGGCUUACUGGUCCGGUUCUGACGCUGAGGCGCGAAAGCGUAGGGAGCAAACAGG